GUCCCUGUUCCAGGGCUGUGUGCUGCUGGUCAUCAACACACUGGGCUGUGGUGUGCUUAUGGUAGCCCGGGAUGGUGUGUGACAGUCCUGGGAGGUCUACACCCAGCCUGACCAGAUGUUCCACAGGUGGCACUCAGUGAGCAUGCUUGCAGUGGAUGGCAGCGUGGAUCCUUUCCCGCACUACUGGUACCUCUGGCUGGACCACCUACUCCCUGUGUCUGGCCUCUGUGGCCUCCCAAAUGCCCUCAGGAAGGUCCUCAUGGAUCGAUCAGCUGGUAGCCUCUCCCAUGCUGAGCAUAUGACACGUCUUGGGCCUUGGCUGCCUGGAAGGCCAGACGCUGGGAGAGAGCUGCCAGGAGCUGCAGGACAAGUUCUGGGAAUUCUACAAGGCUGACUGGUGCAUGUGGCCGGCUGCACGCUGGCGAACUUUCCCUUUGUGCACCCCCCUCCUCCCAGUUCCGAGUCACCUACAUCAAUGGCCUGACAUUGGGCUGGGACACAUAUCUGUCCUACCUGAAGU
rnacentral:lncRNA from 1 species